AUCGGCUGAUGUCAGUCUCAGGACAGGUGGGAUCUCCGGUUCAACGAGCCUCUGUUGUUCUCAAUACAAAGGGACCAGGAGCUGGUGAAACUCUUUAAAUUCCUACUUAUAAAAUUAAAAAACAUGAACUGUUUAUGUUCAUCUGUCUAACGCGACCGUUAUCUACUUGAUAAAAUAUAUUAUUAUGAGAGGGUUUUGAGUGAAAAAAACAACAAUGUGCGAACGAAGAGAGAAAUUCAGGAGAAACUGCGCAGUCACAGUUUGAUGGGAGCGUUGACCUGAGCAGAUAUGCCAGCCGAUGACAAGAUUGCCAUCCUGACGGACGAUGAGGAGGAGCAGAAGAGGAAGUAUGUGUUGGCGGAGUCGUUCAACACCCUCUCCGCGGAGCAGCAGGCGGAUGCCGGCGACACGCCCGUGCCCGCCGCGGACGAGAUGGCCCCCCCGCAGCCCGACACCAUAGGUUGCUGCGAGAGGAUGUGCCUGCGCGUCAACAGCCACCUGCUUGUCUCCAAGGUCUUCUACUUCUUCUUCUAUGCCGCCUACGGCUCGCUGCACCCUCUGCUUGCCGUGUACUACAAGCAGCUGGGCAUGUCGGCCGGCCGCAGCGGGCUGCUCGUCGGCAUCCGAUAUUUCAUCGAGUUCUGCAGCGCCCCGUUCUGGGGCGUGGUGGCUGACCGCUUCAAGAAGGGCAAGGCCUUACUGCUGUUCUCCGUGCUCUGCUGGUUGAUGUUCAACUGCGGCAUCGGCUUUGUCAAACCGGCUGAGGUGAAAUGCGUGGCAACGGACGCCGCUCCGGUGACGCCGCCUGCGAUGACAACAUUCUCUCCCAGUAACGCCACACAUCAAGGCAAUUCCACCAACCACACCCGGCGUCGCCGAAGCUUUCUAGACUUCCCUGGGCUUCCUGAACUCCUGGACAUCAGCGUGCUCCACAGGGCCAAACGAAGCGGCGACUCCAACGCGACGUCGCCACCCUUCCGGCAGGCUAACAUCACCCAGCUCACACCAAAUACCACCCUGCCCACCACCACCAUGACCACCACUGCUGCUGCUGCGACCAGCGCCAAGAAGUACCAGAUCGUCUACAACCAGGACCAGGUGGAGAAGAUCUUUCUGCUCAUCCUGCUCGUCAUCAUCGUGGGCGAGUUCUUCAGCGCCCCGGCCGUCACCAUCGUGGACACCGUCACCCUCCAGUACCUCGGCAAAGCCCGCGACCGCUACGGCCUGCAGCGGAUGUGGGGCUCGCUGGGCUGGGGCCUGGCCAUGCUGCUGGUGGGCAUCUGGAUUGACCACACGCACGUCACGGUCGUGAUCGACGGCCUUGGCUGCAUCUUGCCCGACUUCCGACUGCACAACUACCAGAUCGCCUUCAUCGUCUUCGGCGUGCUCAUGGGCCUGGCGUUUCUCGUCGCCACUCAGUUCUACUUCGAGAAAGGCGGCGACUACCAGCAGGAGCUCUCAGAGGGCGUGGUGGAGCAGACGGCGGAGUCCGACGUCGCCCAGGAGUUCCACUACAGCGACCUCCUGCGGCUCCUCUGCAGCGUGCGCUACAGCUCCGUGCUGUUCGUCGCAUGGUUCAUGGGCUUCGGUUACGGCUUUGUCUUCACCUUCCUCUACUGGCACCUGGAGGACCUGAAGGGCACGACCACGCUGUUUGGCGUCUGCUCCGUCCUGAGCCACGUCUCCGAGCUCGCCGCCUAUUUCACCAGCCACAAGUUCAUCGAGCUGGUCGGACAUGUCAGAGUGCUGUACAUCGGCCUGGCCUGCAACACGGCUCGCUACCUGUACAUCUCCUAUUUGCAGAACGCCUGGACUGUGCUGCCCAUGGAGGUCCUUCAAGGUGUGUCCCACGCCUCCGUCUGGGCCGCGUGCAUCUCCUACCUGAGCGCCGCGGUCCCGCCUGCACUGAGGACGUCGGCGCAGGGAAUCCUGCAGGGCCUUCACCUGGGCCUGGGCCGCGGCUGUGGAGCCAUGGUGGGAGGAGUGUUCGUCAAUUACUUUGGUGCCGCAGCGACGUUCCGAGGAAUUGGCAUGGCCUCCCUCGUCAUCCUCCUCAUAUUCUCCUUCAUCCAGUGUUUGACCGGAGAGACUGAGGGGAAAGAGGACAAGAUGUUAGCAGAGAACAUCCCAGUCCCCUCCAGCCCGGUGCCCAUCGCCACCAUCGACCUGGUGCAGAGCCAGAACGAAUUCGGCAGCCCCGCCCCGGGUCGCCAUGCCGCCACCUUACCCGUCAAGAAGACCAAGCACCAGGAGGAUCAGGAGGACGUGACCCGGCCGGCCUGGGUGCUCUCCGGAGCCCCCUGGGUCACCAUCGCCUUCGCCAUCGUCCAGAUCAAAGAGAUGAUGACCCUCACGAGGAGCGGCGGACCGCCACCGGAGGCCGGCCCGCUACAGUGUUGUUACAGGAUCUUGCCGACUCUUGGCCCUCGGAGGCGAACUGCUGGAAACCACCGAGCUACAUGAUGAAACUGCGAAGUGUAACUCAGCAGACACCGGUCAGACCUCCUGCGGCGCCGCGAACGGGACCACCUGAGUCAAGUGGAUGAAGGGGUGAAUGAUGUCCAUGCUUCAUCGUGGUGUUCCUCACCGCAGGUGUUCCACUUGACCACAUGGAGAGUGCAUUGACUCCUGCGACCUCCAGCAGAUGCUGCCGUCAGACGGGAGAGGACGGUUCUCACCUCCGUGGGAACGCAUUAUCAUCGAGGAGGAAUGUUUAUUUCAGCUUUCAGGUACAUUAACCUCAUCUUUUUUACGUUCCAUGAACAUGUGGAAAGCCUUUUAUCCUGCUGCAGUUUAAAUACAACAACGGCGUUUAUCAACUCGAUCUCACUUCAAGUCACUUAUCAAGCAUUUAAAGGAUAAGUCCAGUUUAUUACUACUUGGAUCAUGUGUUUUUUUGUGCUUCUGGGUAUAGUUUUAUUUAGUCAGUGCUAUUUUGGUUGGUGACUAUAGAAAUUAUGGAUAAAAUUGACAAAAACACAACCCAAAUUGUAGUGUAGCAAUGUGCAGGGAGUUACAUGAUGUGACUUGCAGCCACACCUCGUCGAGAAGUAUUUAAACGAAGCAUCGCUCUGCGACUGCCCGGCCUAUGUCCCGCCACAGAUUUUAUUCAGAGUUUCUCACGUUCUGGUUCGGCGAUCGAGGAGAAACUUCCCAUCGUGUCUCACCAGCUUGAAGCGGCAAGGACUAGCUACAACCCCACAAAUGAUGUCAAAUUGUAUUUGUCCCACGCAAAUCGAGCAGAUUUAGUGAAAAAAAAAUUCCGGGCUCGUUUGUGAAGUUAGUAUCUAUCUAUCUUCUAUGAUGAGUGAAAAAAACAAAACAAAUGAUGUUUAUAUUCAAUCAGGAAUCAUAUUUUGUAUUUGUUGCCUUCAUUGCAGCAUUUUGGGUAUGAUUCACAUAAGUUUGUAGAGAGAAAAAAAAACUAUUAAUAUUGCAUCCGUCUCACGGUCUUGGUGCCCAGUGGGAUUUUUCAAUGUUUCAGCACAAAUUCACCUAUCUCAGAAGACUUCCCUGUAUUUUGUGGGGGAAAAAAACUAUAUUUUGAAGCAGCCGGGCAGAGCUUCGCCGGAGCUGCAACUCUCAAGUGUAGGUAAUAAGAAAACCAUUGUUGUUUUGAUGUCUUACACUUAAAACAUGAAUUAAGAAAGAUUUUGUUCAAGAGCCCUGCUUACCAUUUUUAAGUCAUGUGCAUUUCAAAUACAGUACUGUUUCAGAUGAUCAACUGUGUCCUUACAUAUUUGUCUUGCGGUUUUAUAUUUUAUGAUGUGUAACGCCAAUCGGUAGAUGGAUAUAUAGAUAGAUAGAUAGAUCGAUAGAUCGAUAGAUAGAUAGAUAUAUAGAUUGAUAAAUAGACAGAACAAUUGAAUAUAUUUAUAAGAUAACUCUAGUUAAUGUUACAAGAUAAACCUACAUAUUCUAUUACUAAUAGAAUCCAAACUGCAACCUUCCACUAACUUUUGUUUCUCUAACAUGUUUCAAGCAAAAACUCCAAAACUCCCUCAAUGCUCAAAAGUCUGCGUCAAACCCACGCCACCAAAAACUACAGGCAUACACCUCCACAACGAACCCACAGUGGCGGAUCCCCCCACACCGCCACCACCAGCAGCAGCAGCACUACGGCUGCCUGGACUUCAAAGGAGAAAGACUGGCGUGAAACCAAAGUCGUACUACAGCACUCUACACAAAAUGUACCUUGCCUGUCUGCGUUUGUACUUGAUAUUUUCCACAGUUGUCUCACACAAUGGCAUCAAUUCAUGGAAACUGCUGAUGCUAGUCGAGUUUAUGUAUUUACAUAUCACUCCACAAUUGUUCCAUGGCCAGAGGAAGAUUCUGCCUUGACUUCCUGGGUUACUGUUCUUUUUUAAAGCUUCGAUCUCAACAGUAUUAUAUGGAGGAAGGUACUACUUCAGUGGGAAUAAGAGGCUUCAAAUACGGACUUGCGUUUUAAUAAUGUUAACCUGGAACAAAGUGGACGUCUACAGCAGCCAUGUUUCUGCUGUGCCUCCUCAUAAUAACCCGUUGACUUUUACCUUAAACACCUGCGGCGACUUCAUCCAGGAGUUAAGUUAUAGAAUCAUGAAUCAUGACGACUGUUUGCCGAGUGGCACUUUCAAAACUUUACCAUUUCACUAUUGAAUAUAGCUUAUGUUAAACUAUUUUAUUUACAAUCCGGAAGUUUAUUCUUAAAAUAGCUUGAUAUAUAAUAUCAAAAACAGCUUAGUUAAUAUCAACGGGAUGUUUGUGUUUAAAAUAUUUUUCUCCUAGUCACCAAAGCUGUGAAAUAAAUGUAGAAAAAAAUAUACCACUGAAGUGUGAAGUAGUGUAUGAUAGUUAUACUCAAGUAAAGUACAAGUAGCAUUUGUAAAUUUGUAAGUAGUAGAGUAAUUAAAAUGAGACAAGUUGGGAUGAAGUAUUAGUACAACUGUGAUAAUGCCAGUACACAUUAAUUGCACAAACAACUGCAGUAGGAUCACUGCAUUUAGUAAUAGUUUCACUUUUUUUAGUUGCCUGGGUUGUUAUAAAAGAGGGAGUAGUUCUUUAUUAUUUUCAUGUAAUAGUUAUGAUCAAUUCAUUUGGUAGAACUAGUGGAUUAUUAAGUUUAAAACAUUUGAAUGAGUAUUAUUACAGGUGCCGUAGUAGCGCUGCUGGUCAGAGUAGUCGUAAGAAAUGAGUAGUGAUCCUGCACUAACUGUUUGCUCCAUCCGAUCCUGAGCCAGUGAAGUAGCAGCAGUCGUGAGUAUUUUAAUAUAGUGUACUAGAAGUGUAGUGUAGUAUAACAUUGCUGCAUUGACUCUGAAAACAGUUUUAUCUGCCGCUGCUGGUCAAGCAGGACAACAGGGAGACUUUUUGUCCUGGCUGGGAUCAAUCGCUCCAUAGAUGACGCCCACCCAGCCAGGCCUCUCCGUGGGCGGCCAGCAGCCCAGCAGCCCGGUCUGGCCCCGCCUGGGCCCUCCUCUGGCCCCUGCAGCCUGCAGGGCCGGCACGGCAAGAGAGCUGCACUUUAGCUGAACUUUAAGCAUCACAGAAAGAAAGGGCAGAGCUCUUUUUACUUUGACUUACCUCCCGCUGAAGGAAGCAUCAUUCACAAGCAGUUGGGUUUCUCAAUGAGACAAAGAAGGGCAAUUUGACAGCACAAAAGGGGGUAAUACGUGAGUUUUACCGCUAUUGUCACUUUCAUUUAUUGAAGCUGAAAUCCCAAAGAAAAUUGAUUCCGUCACUGGGUUUCAAAGAUGGAAGCUUCAACAACAUAAGAAUUAGGAAUGUUUCCAUCAAAAUUUGUAAAUUUAAACAGGAUUUCCCACAAACAUAUUUAAACAUUAGGUAUAAUCGUCAAUUCUAUCGACUAAGCAUAUUCAGACUUGGUUCAUAGAGACAAACAUUUUAAUUUAUUAAAAUAAAAUAAAUUAUUAAAAUGAAUUAUUAAUUCCAAUUAAUACACUGCAGGAGUAGAUGGAUUAUUUUGGUGAUGUCAUUUGAGAGUUCCAGGUACUGUCAAGCUCAAAUGACGGAACGACCAUGAUGGAGAACAGGAUGAACAUUUCCGUUUUUUUUAAGUGUAUUCAUUUUAAAGCAUCGGGUAUCCACGGGUCGAUGUAGAUCAUUGAGCAAAUAACGAAUACAGUGUCGUAACAACGUGAUUGUGAUCAAGACGUCAGCUACGUUUUACUUAUCUUCUCAAAACAGGAAAAAGGUUUCUCAAAGAAACACGUCACGAGGUUAAAAGAAAUGGAGAUUAUGGAAAUACAAUCCACACUGACGAUCUACGCUGGCGGAGAGGAAACAUCUGCUGGCUCGUGAUAAACACAUUUAAAACAGGUAAUCAUCAGUGAAGGACGCUUUAGACCUUUACAGUGCUCAGACGUCAGGAGAAUAUAAUUCACACAUUUCUGAUUACACUUGUCUUCACAUCGUCUGCAUGUGUUUAGUUAACCUGCAUCUGUUGCUGUGGUGACGAUAGGGGUGAGAGCAACUGGUAAUAUGGUUUGACACUGUAGUGCAACCACUUGCACCUGACGGCAUCGCUACAUUAAAUGUCCUUAUAAGAAAUUAUAACUACAUGACAGUGUGUAAUACAUGUUUGUGUUCUGCUGAUAAACGCUAAAUAAAUGUGUCAAUACGUGAA